rnacentral:lncRNA from 1 species
ACCUCCUACUCCCGACGCCGGUGUUCAACCAGUUGGCGUACGUUAACUCCCCCAGUGAGUUUUCCCUAACUUUAUCUCAACUUCAAAAAAUAAAAUAAGACACAAAAGGCAGCUUAACAACUUAUGGAAGUAUUAAUUUAAGAAAUUCUGUCCCGCCACAUUUAUCUUAAUCAUUAAAAACAACCUCAAUUGUUUCCCCAGUGUUAAGAAAGAUGCAUAAAUGGCUCCUCCUACUCCCGCGGGCUGGGCAGUGCGGGCCGGCGGGAGGCGGGACACGCCCGCGAGGCCACAACCGCCGCCGCCCGGCUUCUCUGGCUUCACUUAUCUUCUCCUUGUCUGCACGUGAGUGAAGAUCCAGAGAAGACAGUUGUCAGCUGAGCUAUUAACAAUGCAACCA